GUUGGUGAUAGACAGGGAGGCCUGGCGUGCUGCAGUCCACGGGGUCGUAAAGAGUCAGACACGACUGAGUGGCUGAACUGAACUGAUCCGGCCAGCAGGAGAAUCCUAGAUGUGACAACGGAGGUGUCUUACUCUCUAGCUUCGUGUGUCUGAUAGUCUUCUCUCUGCUGUGAGUGGCUGUUUUUUGCUGUUUUUAGCACCCUGAAGCAACAAACUGAAGAAAGGAAAGUUGCUUGUUCCUUGUCCAAUAGGGUUCUUAAUCUUUGUAUAAUAAAUAUGUAGAACACAACCACUGUGAGCAUUUAUUGAGUUCAAAGAAGGUGGAGUCAAGAGAAUGAGAAUUAAGUGGGUCUAGUAGUCUCCUGAAUGCAGACCAGAGAGCAAGUAUGUAUAUGUGCGUGUGUGUGUAGGGGGUGCGUGUGUGUGUAGGGGGUGUGUGGUGUGGCGGGGAGUAUGUGUGUGAUGGACACGGGACAAGAAGGCAGAGCAUUGAUCUUGGAUGGUAGUUCUGAGCUAAGUCUUUCCCUCUUCCCUGCAUUUUCCUUUUGCACAAAGUAGUUCUAAACCCACUGCCUGUGCCCAAAGGAGGACAUGUGGUCUAAGAGGGGCCCAGACUCUUCCAGUGCAACUGUCCACUUGAGGAAAAUCCUCACACCAGAUGAGAGUAUAACCAGCUCCAGGACAAGGAGUGGGCAAGACCUGCAGGGCCUCUUGGUGACCCUCAAGCAUCAGAGCCAUUCAAGGAUGUUGGCCUUUUUGAAUGUUCUCAGCAAGAGUAGAUGACCACACAACUCUCAAGGUAAAUAAAAAUUAGAUGAAGGUUA